CCUACGGGUGGCAGCAGUGGGGAAUAUUGCGCAAUGGGCGAAAGCCUGACGCAGCGACGCCGCGUGAGGGAUGAAGGUCUUCGGAUCGUAAACCUCUGUCAGCAGGGAAGAACGGUCACUGUGCUAAUCAGCAGUGAAUUGACGGUACCUGCCAAGGAACCACCGGCUAACUACGUGCCAGCAGCCGCGGGAAUACGGAGGGUGCGAGCGUUAGUCGGAAUUACGGGGCGUAAAGCGCUCGUAGGCGGUAUGACAAGUCAAGGGUGAAAUCCCCGAGCUGAACGUGAGAACUGCCUUUGAAACUGGCAAACUGGAGUGUGUGAGAGGAUAGUGGAAUUCCAGGUGUAGGAGUGAAAUCCGUAGAUAUCUGGAGGAACAUCAGUGGCGAAGGCGACUAUCUGGCACAUAACUGACGCUGAGGCGCGAAAGCGUGGGUAGCAAACAGGAUUAGAUACCCCUGUAGUC
rnacentral:rRNA from 1 species